AGAGUUUUGAUCCUGGCUCAGGACGAACGCUGGCGGCGUGCUUAACACAUGCAAGUCGAACGGAAAGGCCCGCUUGCGGGUACUCGAGUGGCGAACGGGUGAGUAACACGUGGGCAACCUGCCCUCAGCUCUGGGAUAACUCCGGGAAACCGGUGCUAAUACUGGAUAUCAACUUCUGCUCGCAUGGGUGGUUGUUGGAAGUUUUUCGGCUGGGGAUGGGCCCGCGGCCUAUCAGCUUGUUGGUGGGGUAAUGGCCUACCAAGGCGACGACGGUAGCCGGCCUGAAGGGCGACCGGCCACACUGGGACUGAACACGGCCCAACUCCUACGGAGGCACAGGGAAUAUUGCGCAAUGGCGGAAGCCUGACCACGAC
rnacentral:rRNA from 1 species